GAGUUUGAUCAUGGCUCAGAUUGAACGCUGGCGGCAUGCCUUACACAUGCAAGUCGAACGGCAGCACGGGUGCUUGCACCUGGUGGCGAGUGGCGAACGGGUGAGUAAUACAUCGGAACAUGUCCUGUAGUGGGGGAUAGCCCGGCGAAAGCCGGAUUAAUACCGCAUACGAUCUGAGGAUGAAAGCGGGGGACCUUCGGGCCUCGCGCUAUAGGGUUGGCCGAUGGCUGAUUAGCUAGUUGGUGGGGUAAAGGCCUACCAAGGCGACGAUCAGUAGCUGGUCUGAGAGGACGACCAGCCACACUGGGACUGAGACACGGCCCAGACUCCUACGGGAGGCAGCAGUGGGGAAUUUUGGACAAUGGGCGAAAGCCUGAUCCAGCAAUGCCGCGUGUGUGAAGAAGGCCUUCGGGUUGUAAAGCACUUUCGUCCGGAAAGAAAUCCUUGGUUCUAAUAUAGCCGGGGGAUGACGGUACCGGAAGAAUAAGCACCGGCUAACUACGUGCCAGCAGCCGCGGUAAUACGUAGGGUGCAAGCGUUAAUCGGAAUUACUGGGCGUAAAGCGUGCGCAGGCGGUUUGCUAAGACCGAUGUGAAAUCCCCGGGCUCAACCUGGGAACUGCAUUGGUGACUGGCAGGCUAGAGUAUGGCAGANGGGGGGUAGAAUUCCACGUGUAGCAGUGAAAUGCGUAGAGAUGUGGANGAAUACCGAUGGCNNA
rnacentral:rRNA from 1 species